rnacentral:tmRNA from 1 species
GGGGAUGUAAAGGUUUCGACGGGGAUCUUGAAACAUGAUAAGCGAGCAGAGGAUUGCGCCAUCUCUUUAAAAGGCGCCGUUUUAAAAUUAGACGACAACAAUAAUUUUGAAUUAGCAGCUGCUUAAUUGCUGCUCGUCUGACCGCUGAGUACCGCGGCGGCGGAUCAGGCGUCGAUUAGCGGUGAACGCGUUGGGGAAGUGCCUGCGUCCCUAAUGUGUAUUGCAGGCUACUGAGUAUUACCGGCUGUUUGUUUCCGAUAAUGCAAGGGAAUGUUAAUAACAAACUACGCUCGUAGAAAGUUGUGCGGAUAGGUUUUCGGACACGGGUUCGAUUCCCGUCAUCUCCACCA